rnacentral:rRNA from 1 species
CUAGUCAUAUGGAUUGGCGCGCAAAUUACCCAAUCCCGACACAGGGAGGUAGUGACAAGAAAUACCAAUAUGAGGCUUCAUGUCUUGUAAUUGGAAUGAGAACAAUUUAAAUCCCUUAUCGAGUAUCAAUUGGAGGGCAAGUCUGGUGCCAGCAGCCGCGGUAAUUCCAGCUCCAAUAGCGUAUAUUAAAGUUGUUGCAGUUAAAAAGCUCGUAGUUGGAUUUCUGGCAGGGGUGAGCGGCCACACACUAUGUGUGUGAGCUUGCUUACUCCGCCAUCCUUGAGGAGAUCCUAUUUGGCAUUAAGUUGUCGGGUAGGGGAUACUCAUCGUUUACUGUGAAAAAAUUAGAGUGUUUAAAGCAGGCUUAUGCCGUUGAAUAUAUUAGCAUGGAAUAAUAAGAUAGGACUUUGAGUCUAUUUUGUUGGUUUGCGAGUCAAAGUAAUGAUUAAUAGGGACAGUUGGGGGUAUUCGUAUUUCAUUGUCAGAGGUGAAAUUCUUGGAUUUCCGAAAGACGAACUACUGCGAAAGCAUUUACCAAGGAUGUUUUCAUUAAUCAAGAACGAAAGUUAGGGGAUCGAAGAUGAUUAGAUACCAUCGUAGUCUUAACCAUAAACUAUGCCGACUCAGGAUUGGCGGUUGUUUUUUGACUCCGUCAGCACUGUAUGAGAAAUCAAAGUCUUUGGGUUCCGGGGGGAGUAUGGUCGCAAGGC